UGAGCGGCGGGCGGUGAUGGCGGAGCCGGAGCCGGGCCUGGGGCGGGAUCUGGUGGCGGAGCUGCGGGGCCGCGACGGGCGGACGCGGACGGUGCGGGUGCCGUACCCGGCGGCGGAGGAGGGCGAGGCCGCCCAGCUGCGCGGGCUCCGGGGGGCCCUGAGCGAGCUGCAGGAGCGGGUGGUGGAGCUGCUGGCGCCGCUGGUGCAGGAGGAGCGGGCGGCGGCGGACGGCGCGCCGCGCGGUGGUGGCGGGGAUGACGACGACUACGAUGACGACGAGGAGGAUGAAGGUGAAGACGAAAACAACGUGGACGCGGCGGCGAGCGGCGAUGACCCUCCCCUGAAGAGGACCAAGGUGCAGCAGCCGUGAGGGCGGCGCUGGAGGCCGGAUCGGCGCCUUAGCCCCGUUGGGCUGUACCGACUAAGCCUUUCCGAAAGGAUGAGCCUGGGUGUGAGCAGCGUGUUGUUUACGGGGUGCCAGUGUUAUGCUGACACCAGUUUUCUUGGUAAAUUAGUUGGCAAGUAUAAAACUUUUAUGACAAAUCCUCUCAUUGGUAUGUUUUUUAAUAACUUAUUCCGAGUCACAGUAUUUUUUCAUGUGAUACCACUUUUAAAAUAAAGCAAUAAAACCUGAAAAGUUAUUUUGUCAAAUAAUAAUCUUUAAAAGUACAAGACAACUUGUGUUUGAAUGGACAGAAAGCAAUAUAAGACCACUAUAAGUAUCAAAAUUAACAAGCAUAUAUAGGACUGUGCCUGUUCCUGUACAAUCCUACAGAAGAUUAUUUUUGCCUACAAUCGACAAGGUUCAGUCACCUAUCAGUUAAGAAGCCUCUUUGAACAGGUAUAAAACACUCUUGAUAGUCACUCUCUAGAGCCUAAGAGUGUUCUGUAGAAGAAUUUAACUGCCUGAAUGAAUAGUGUAAAAAGCAUUUUGGGGGGUGUUGCCAUGAGUUUUUCCCGGUUUGCUGAGCGUUCUUAUUAAAGGAGAAGUUUGUACCUUCUCACGCUCUUUUAAUGUAAACAUCAGCUAUGUUCUAUAAACAUAGCCAUUGUUUUUACAUUCUCUGCUGGGACAAACAAGACUGUGUGACAGUCCCCUUCACCAAUGUGAUGUGGAGGUGGGAAUUCCUUCCUCCAAUCCACAGGCCUCAUAGUAAAAGUAUAAAAGUAGGUUUUGGUAAAUAAACCGGGGCUUCUGCCCUGCUGCUGUUGUUGCACCCAGAUCUGUGUCUCCAGUCUGUUUUCCUGGUUAGGCCUCCACGGUGAUAGGGGGGCUAUUUUCAUUUUUUUGUGUUCUCCUGACACAGUUUUUUUAUAUGUAAAACUGAGCAAAUCUUAAUACAUAUAUGUAGGAAGAAUGUGGAAAUAAAUGAACUUCUAUGAGGACCAAA